rnacentral:rRNA from 1 species
GAUGAACGCUGGCGGCGUGCCUAAUACAUGCAAGUCGAGCGAACGGACGAGAAGCUUGCUUCUCUGAUGUUAGCGGCGGACGGGUGAGUAACACGUGGAUAACCUACCUAUAAGACUGGGAUAACUUCGGGAAACCGUAGCUAAUACCGGAUAAUAUUUUGAACCGCAUGGUUCAAAAGUGAAAGACGGUCUUGCUGUCACUUAUAGAUGGAUCCGCGCUGCAUUAGCUAGUUGGUAAGGUAACGGCUUACCAAGGCAACGAUGCAUAGCCGACCUGAGAGGGUGAUCGGCCACACUGGAACUGAGACACGGUCCAGACUCCUACGGGAGGCAGCAGUAGGGAAUCUGCCGCAAGGGGCGAAAGCCUGACGGAGCAACGCGGCGUGAGUGAUGAAGGUCUUCGGAUCGUAAAACUCUGUUAUUAGGGAAGAACAUAUGUGUAAGUAACUGUGCACAUCUUGACGGUACCUAAUCAGAAAGCCACGGCUAACUACGG